GUCAAUAUAGUUUAUAUUAGAACGUGUAUUUUGUAAGUAUGAAGAAUUUAAUUGACU
rnacentral:tRNA from 1 species